GUUGUAAACAGUGCUGCGGCGAACAGCAGGCUGCGUGCAUCCUUUCAAACCAUCAUUUUCUCUGGAUAUAUGCCCAGGAGUGGAUUUGCAGGAUUGCAUGUUUGCUGUGUUUAACUCUUGAUGCAUCAAGAGACCAGGUCUUGUUUACGGGAUCAGAAGACAUCUGCUGUGUUGGCUAACUGCUGUGUGCUCCUCUUGAUUCUCAUCAUGAUGGACUGUGUGGAGAAGUGUGUGUGACAUUCUGUUGGACGUAAAACCAGCACGUGUCCCAAGGAAAUCAGCAGCAGCGGUUUGAAACAGCAGACUGUAUGCCUAAUACGGCGGUGAACCGGGAGGAGUUGCGGGCACGCCUGCGCUCCAGAGCACCGCGCCGGGGGCCGGCGUGUGGCCGAGGGCCGGGGGCCUUCAACGGGGCAGCUGAUCUCCGUGGGGAACGUUGGUGUCGCCUCGGCCGUGGCACCGCCUCUCCGUCUGAGAUGGGCCCGUCUGCAUCGGAGACUCAUUUCCGUGGUUGAAGCCUUCACCCAGAAUCCCGGGGACUUCUCUACACGGACCAGAGAUGCGGUUUAAACCCGGUUUGUCCCCUUCAACAACACUCACUCCAGCGUUCUGAAAAACAUCCUGUACCUUCGUCCCUCUGAGAGUUCAUGCUAUAAUACGGUGGGCUAAUCGUAUUAUCUGGCGUCCCUAAGAAGGUUCAGUUCUGUGAAAUAUGGAUUGUUUUCAUCUUAGCACAGAGCCACACACACUUUCAGUCUCCUGAGUCGCCUGCCGCUGGUUGGGGCUCCUUCGGCAACUCGCGGGGCGCUGUUUGGGGCUUGCAUGUCAGGCCUCAGAGAGCAGAGUGGACACUCCACCUCCAGCGCCUCACCGGCUCCUCUAACAAGGCGGCCCCUGCCGCAAGGCCGCACCCCAGACCUCACCGGGCGGAACCUCCCGCGGCUUCAGAGGGCGCGUCUCGGGGCUUGGGGUGGGCCUGACCCAGGCGCCGACUCCUCCUGGGAGCCUCUCUCGCCGUUUUGCAGGCUUGCCGAGAGGCUUGCUCUUUACG
ensembl:lncRNA